UCCAGACUCCUACGGGAGGCAGCAGUGGGGGAUAUUGCACAAUGGAGGGAACUCUGAUGCAGCGACGCCGCGUGAGGGAAGAAGGUUUUCGGAUUGUAAACCUCUGUCUUCGGUGACGAAACGAGACGGUAGCCGAGGAGGAAGCCCCGGCUAACUACGUGCCAGCAGCCGCGGUAAUACGUAGGUGGCAAGCGUUGUCCGGAAUUACUGGGUGUAAAGGGAGCGUAGGCGGGAAUGCAAGUUGAAUGUUUAAACUAUGGGCUCAACCCAUAGUCGCGUUCAAAACUGCAUUUCUUGAGUGGAGUAGAGGCAGGCGGAAUUCCUAGUGUAGCGGUGAAAUGCGUAGAUAUUAGGAGGAACACCAGUGGCGAAGGCGGCCUGCUGGACAUUAACUGACGCUGAGGCGCGAAAGCGUGGGGAGCAAACAGGAUUAGAUACCCGGGUA
rnacentral:rRNA from 1 species